GGGGGGGGGGGGGGGGGGGGGGGGGGGGGGGAGGGCGGGGGGGGCCGGGGGGGCGGGGGGCGGGCGGGUGGGUGACGGGGGGGGACGUGCACUGGGGUUGGGAUGACGUCCCGGAGAGGGGUGCGAAGACCGGAUAGUGUCUGGGCACCAAGGAGUUAUUGCGUUGGGGUGGGCCCGCGUUGGAUUAGCUAGUUGGGAGGGUAAAAGCCUACCAAGGCGCCGGGCGAUAGCUGGUCUGAGAGGAUGAUCAGCCACACUGGGACUGAGACACGGCCCAGCCUCCUACGGGAGGCAGCAGUGGGGAAUAUUGGACAAUGGGCGAAAGCCUGAUCCAGCAAUGCCGCGUGAGUGAUGAAGGCCUUAGGGUUGUAAAGCUCUUUUACCCGGGAUGAUAAUGACAGUACCGGGAGAAUAAGCUCCGGCUAACUCCGUG
rnacentral:rRNA from 1 species